rnacentral:rRNA from 1 species
CCUACGGGAGGCAGCAGUGAGGAAUAUUGGUCAAUGGGAGAGAUCCUGAACCAGCCAAGCCGCGUGAGGGAAGACGGCCCUAUGGGUUGUAAACCUCUUUUGUCGGAGAACAAAACCCGGGACGUGUCCCGGACUGCGUGUAUCCGAAGAAAAAGCAUCGGCUAACUCCGUGCCAGCAGCCGCGGUAAUACGGAGGAUGCGAGCGUUAUCCGGAUUUAUUGGGUUUAAGGGGUGCGUAGGCGGUCCGUUAAGUCAGCGGGAAAAUUGCGGGGCUCAACCCCGUCGAGCCGUUGAAACUGGCAGACUUGAGUUGGCGAGAAGUACGCGGAAUGCGCGGUGUAGCGGUGAAAUGCAUAGAUAUCGCGCAGAACUCCGAUUGCGAAGGCAGCGUACCGGCGCCAGACUGACGCUGAGGCACGAAAGCGUGGGGAUCGAACAGGAUUAGAUACCCCAGUAGUC